rnacentral:rRNA from 1 species
AAUCCAUAGGUUAAUGAGGCGAACCGGGGGAACUGAAACAUCUAAGUACCCCGAGGAAAAGAAAUCAACCGAGAUUCCCCCAGUAGCGGCGAGCGAACGGGGAGGAGCCCAGAGCCUGAAUCAGCAUGUGUGUUAGUGGAAGCGUCUGGAAAGGCGCGCGAUACAGGGUGACAGCCCCGUACACAAAAGCGCAUGUGCUGUGAGCUCGAUGAGUAGGGCGGGACACGUGGUAUCCUGUCUGAAUAUGGGGGGACCAUCCUCCAAGGCUAAAUACUCCUGACUGACCGAUAGUGAACCAGUACCGUGAGGGAAAGGCGAAAAGAACCCCGGCGAGGGGAGUGAAAAAGAACCUGAAACCGUGUACGUACAAGCAGUGGGAGCACCCUUUUGGGUGUGACUGCGUACCUUUUGUAUAAUGGGUCAGCGACUUAUAUUCUGUAGCAAGGUUAACCGAAUAGGGGAGCCGGAGGGAAACCGAGUCUUAAU